CGAAAGCCUGACGGAGCAACGCCGCGUGGGGGAAGAAGGUUCUUGGAUUGUAAACCCCUUUUCUCAGGGAAGAAGUUCUGACGGUACCUGAGGAAUCAGCCUCGGCUAACUCCGUGCCAGCAGCCGCGGUAAUACGGAGGAGGCAAGCGUUAUCCGGAAUCAUUGGGCGUAAAGCGUUCGUAGGCGGCUGUUCAAGUCUGCUGUCAAAGACCGGAGCUCAACUCCGGGCAGGCAGUGGAAACUGGGGAGCUAGAGGGCGGCAGGGGCAGAAGGAAUUCCCGGUGUAGCGGUGAAAUGCGUAGAUAUCGGGAAGAACACCAGAGGCGAAAGCGUUCUGCUGGGCCGCGCCUGACCCUGAGGGACGAAAGCCAGGGGAGCG
rnacentral:rRNA from 1 species